rnacentral:rRNA from 1 species
GACAGCAGUGCCACGGUAACACGGAGGGGGCUAGCGUUGUUCGGAAUUACUGGGCGUAAAGCGCACGUAGGCGGCUUGGUAAGUUAGAGGUGAAAGCCUGGAGCUCAACUCCAGAAUUGCCUUUAAGACUGCCGAGCUAGCAGGUGAGAGAGGUAAGUGGAAUUCCGAGUGUAGAGGUGAAAUUCGUAGAUAUUCGGAAGAACACCAGUGGCGAAGGCGGCUUACUGGCUCAUACUGGACGCUGAGGUGCGAAAGCGUGGGGAGCAAACAGGAUUAGAUACCCGAGUAGUCCCUGUCUCUUAUACA